rnacentral:rRNA from 1 species
GACGUAGGGCGCGAGCGUUGUCCGGAUUUAUUGGGCGUAAAGAGCUCGUAGGCGGCUUGUUGCGUCGACUGUGAAAACCCGCGGCUCAACCGUGUGGCUUGCAGUCGAUACGGGCAGGCUAGAAUUCGGUAGGGGAGACUGGAAUUCCUGGUGUAGCGGUGAAAUGCGCAGAUAUCAGGAGGAACACCAGUGGCGAAGGCAGGUCUC